rnacentral:rRNA from 1 species
UACAGAGGUCCCAAGCGUUUGUUCGGAUUCACUGGGCGUAAAGGGUGCGCAGGUGGGUUGGCAAGUUCGAUGUGAAAGCCCCGGGCUUAACCCGGGAAUGGCAUUGGAAACUGCUGAUCUGGAGGAUCGGAGGGGGGGACUGGAAUUCUUGGUGUAGCAGUGAAAUGGCGUAGAUAUCAGGAAGAACACCAAUGGCGAAAGCAGCUCUCUGGGACGGUACUGACGCUGAGACGCGAAAGCGUGGGGAGCGAACAGG